UAAAGUCCAUGUCAAACCCAAGCAGUAACUAGGUACAGGUAAGAGAGAGCAGAGCACAGAGGUCAGUGUGAUGUAGAGAGACACUGAGGUACCAUGCUGUGACUGGUUUGUAAUUUCCAUGUACAUCAUGGCUCAGGGGAGUGGAAAGACAGGAGGAAACACUGAAAGCAAAACCCUCCUUCCAGUUGAAUAAGCACAGUGGGAGAAAGUUAGAUGUGCUUUAUGGGGAAUUCAAAAUGAGGAUGAUGAAAAGAGGCAGACAGAAUUUAGUAACUCAGCAGAGCAGGGAAAAGGUACCCAGACAGGGAAGGGGCUGCAAACUGGAGACAAAUGAUGCUCAGUGUACCAAAAAGAGCCAGCGUGGGGGCAUGAGGAGGGCAGCCCUGAAGCAAUGAGUCAAGAAAACCAUUAUCACUACUGUAAAUAAAAUACAUUUGAACUGGAACAAGGAAGGCAUGUGAAAGCAGCUGAGGUGAGAUGCAGAGCUGGGAUGUGCAGGGGUCUGUGCUCUGCUGUUCCCACAUCACUGCACCAGAAUUUGGUUAGUUCCCCAAGGAUAUUUUUCACUGAGGUCCUUAGAUUUAUAUAUAGCUUCAGCCCUUACCAGAGAUUUUUGCAAACACCCUGCAGAGGAGCCCUGUGUUUCAGAGGGCACCAGGUGGACUCUGCUUCACCCUGGUGCCAGGCAGCCAGCCACUGACAAGCAGAAGUCACUGGCUUCAGGGCAACCGAUCUCUUCUCCUCUCACCUCUCCUCUCCCCUCCCCUCCCCUCCUCUUUCUUUCUGCACAAGCUCAUGGCUGUUGCAGUCACAAGACCUGAUGCCUGAGCUGAUUUGGGUGGGAGCAAAAGGAUUUAUGGCUUGGGAAGUAAAAGAUAUCUGGAGGUAAAAUAUUAACAGCUCCGGUGCUGUUCUUGCAAGGUGGGGCUGCUGUAGGUCAGAGAAUUUAACAGAUGACCAAGUGUGAUGGGGAUCAGUGGGAAGAAGGUGCCUUAAGCCUUGAAAUUCCCAGGUCUGAUGAAAGGCUUUGUCUGCUUCAGGACCAGAAAUAACAAAUACUUUUUUUUUUCCUGAUGUCCUCUCCAUCCCAUCCUAUCCUCAGCCUGUGUGUAAUGCUGCUGGAGAGCAACACAGGCUCAGGACCAUGCAGCCCUCAAAUCUGUUUCAGCCUGUUCAGGUCCCCAGACAGAAGGUGGAGUUUGCCUGGCAGCCACACAGGAGAGUUGAGUACCAGUGCAGAAGACUUGGUCUUCCACCACUGACUCCGCUGUGUGUGACUCCCUUGCUCUACAUUGGGAUCUCUGAGUGAAAUGCUGAUAUUUUCCAAGUACUUUGCAAGCCAAGAGGCUCUAGUGGAGACCAUCAGAUGAAGCAACCUCACAAAAAAGGAGCCUUCCCCUCUCUGAAGGAUAUCCCCUUACUUAUGAGGAUCCUUUGUUUAAACACACAUCCUGGAAAUAAGCAGGCUUCCCCCACUUUCCUCUGCACUGAUGGGAGUGGUAUGGACACCAGCAAGAGGACAUCCUCUGGGAAUUUAGUACUCAGCAUCAGCUCCCCAUCCAGUGUCUUUGGGCCCAGCAGGAAAAAGUGAGCCAUGGGGAGAGGAAGCAGCUGCAUCUGCUGUGCCAAAGGUUACCAAUCCCAACCCGACAUCCCACAGGCAUCCCUGAGGUGAUUAAGCAGGAGAGAAUGUCUGCAGGGAGAGGAAAACUGUUUUCUAAAUUUCUGUUUAACUCAAACACCGAAACAAACAGAUGGAAGGAAAAGUUGGUUCUGUAAGAAUGUUCACAUCACAUCCGGAGCCAUCGAAUGGCUCAGCGGCAUUUUCCCCUGUGCUUUCUCUGCCCUGUCCUCCACCAGCCUUUUGCCUUCCCUGAUUGUUGUUUGCCCCUGAACGGAGCUUGUUAAUUAUUUAAUUGAUUAAAUAUAUUAGCAAAAAGCCAGUUUGGCAGAAAAGGGGCUAAUUUUUUAUCAGGUCCAUGAGUUGAACUGGCUCAGGGUGGAUGUGAGGGCAAAAGGUCCUGCAAGGAAAAAGAGAGGUGGGCAGGGAGGAGCAGGGAGAAAAAGGGAUGGACACAAGCCUCCACCUUCUCUGUCAGGAUUUAGACGUUAUAUUGGUCUAACAGUAUCAUGAAACUUGACCUUAAUGCCCUCUUGAAAUUCAGCAGAAAUUUCUGGAUGAGGUCAGAUCCUUUACAUGCUGGUCAUGUAAAGGACACAUCUGACCUUGUACUUCUUACUGUAAAACUCAAGGAAAGUUACGACUCUCUUCUCUUCAGGUAAUUUAAAUUUAACAAAUGUAUCUGGACAGGAACAAUUCCGAAUUAGCAUUGAGUUAAAAAAAGAGAAAUAAACAGCUAUUGCACUGAGCUGAUAAAGAGUCUACAACGCUAUGUCCUGGCACUGGGAUCCCAGCUCCUCUGGUAUAGGUCCUGUGCCUGUGGCUACAGGAAGUUGCCAAGACUCAUAACAUUCCUAGAAAGUCACAGAUACACUUAUUGUUACAGACAUCACUGGUGUAUACAAGUUAAAAUUGGCUGCACUUAACCACUCAGAACCGCCUGAUGUACACUAAUAAAAUGACAACAAAUGCCUUUGAACCAUCCUUUAUGAAUUUAAAAAGAAA